rnacentral:rRNA from 1 species
GCGGUGGAGUAUGUGGUUUAAUUCGAUGCAACGCGAGAACCUUACCUGGUCUUGACAUCCCGGAGACCCUUAGGAAACUAGGGGUGCUUCCAUCUGGAAGAAUCUGGAGACAGGUGCUGCAUGGCUGUCGUCAGCUCGUGUCGUGAGAUGUUGGGUUAAGUCCCGCAACGAGCGCAACCCUUGCCUUUAGUUGCCAGCAGUUCGGCUGGGCACUCUAAAGGGACUGCCGGUGUUAAACCGGAGGAAGGUGGGGAUGACGUCAAGUCCUCAUGGCCUUUAUGACCAGGGCUACACACGUACUACAAUGGCCGAUACAAAGGGCAGCGACACUGCGAGGUGAAGCCAAUCCCGUAAAAUCGGUCUCAGUCCGGAUUGGAGUCUGCAACUCGACUCCAUGAAGUUGGAAUCGCUAGUAAUCGUGGAUCAGCAUGCCACGGUGAAUACGUUCCCGGGCCUU